rnacentral:misc_RNA from 1 species
GAUGAAGAACGUAGCGAAAUGCGAUACGUAAUGUGAAUUGCAGAAUUCAGUGAAUCAUCGAAUCUUUGAACGCAUAUUGCGCUCUCUGGUAUUCCGGAGAGCAUGCUUGUUUGAGUAUCAGUAAACACCUCAACUCCCUUUUCUUUUUUGAAAUUGGAGCUGGACUUGAGUGAUCCCAACGCUUUCUUCCAAGAAAGUGGCGGGUUGCUUGAAAUGCAGGUGCAGCUGAACUUUUCUCUGAGCUAUAAGCAUAUCUAUUUAGUCUGCCUAAAAAACAGAUUAUUACCUUUGCUGCAGCUAACAUAAAGGAGACUAGUUCUUGUGCUGACUGAUGCAGGAUUCACAGAGACAGCUUCGGCUGACUUUGUAAACUCGAUCUCAAAUCAAGUAAGACUACCCGCUGAACUUAAGCAUAUCAAUAAGCGCAGGA